rnacentral:ribozyme from 1 species
UGCCCAGCAACUCCUAUCCCUACCUCCUCGUGGUACCGGCCGGAAACUAUGAGCAACCUUAGGGAAGAUCGGGUAACCAACCCCGGUGGGAUCUUUGGUCGUAGGCUGACAGGGAAGG